CUCUGUGACUCCUACGGGGAGGCAGCAGUGGGGAAUAUUGCACAAUGGGGGAAACCCUGAUGCAGCCAUGCCGCGUGUGUGAAGAAGGCCUUCGGGUUGUAAAGCACUUUCAGUAGGGAGGAAGGUAGUGUAGUUAACACCUGCAUUAUUUGACGUUACCUACAGAAGAAAGCACCGGCUAACUCCGUGCCAGCAGCCGCGGUAAUACGGGGGGUGCGAGCGUUAAUCGGAAUUACUGGGCGUAAAGCGCAUGCAGGCGGCCUGUUAAGUCAGAUGUGAAAGCCCGGGGCUUAACCUCGGAAUUGCAUUUGAAACUGGCAGGCUAGAGUCUUGUAGAGGGGGGUAGGAAUUUCAGGUGUAGCGGUGAAAUGCGUAGAGAUCUGAAGGAAUACCAGUGGCGAAGGCGGCCCCCUGGACAAAGACUGACGCUCAGAUGCGAAAGCGUGGGGAGCAAACAGGAUUAGAUACCCUGGUAG
rnacentral:rRNA from 1 species